rnacentral:piRNA from 1 species
GUCCAAUGUGUCAAUGGUGGGGUGGU